rnacentral:tRNA from 1 species
UGGAGUGUAUCUCAGUGGGAGAGCUUACACUUAGCAUGUGAAAGGCUCUGGGUUCAAUCCCCAGUACUGCAA